rnacentral:rRNA from 1 species
GGGGAAUAUUGGACAAUGGGGGAAACCCUGAUCCAGCCAUGCCGCGUGUGUGAAGAAGGUCUUCGGAUUGUAAAGCACUUUGAGUUGGGAGGAAGGGUUGUUGGCUAAUACCUAGCAAUUUUGACGUUACCGACAGAAUAAGCACCGGCUAACUCUGUGCCAGCAGCCGCGGUAAUACAGAGGGUGCAAGCGUUAAUCGGAAUUACUGGGCGUAAAGCGCGCGUAGGUGGUUCAGUAAGAUGGGUGUGAAAUCCCCGGGCUUAACCUGGGAACUGCUUUCAUAACUGCUGAGCUAGAGUACGGUAGAGGGUAGUGGAAUUUCCUGUGUAGCGGUGAAAUGCGUAGAUAUAGGAAGGAACACCAGUGGCGAAGGCGACUACCUGGACUGAUACUGACACUGGGGUGCGAAAGCGUGGGGAGCAAAC